rnacentral:rRNA from 1 species
GAUGAACGCUGGCGGCGUGCCUAAUACAUGCAAGUCGAGCGAACAGACGAGGAGCUUGCUCCUCUGACGUUAGCGGCGGACGGGUGAGUAACACGUGGAUAACCUACCUAUAAGACUGGGAUAACUUCGGGAAACCGGAGCUAAUACCGGAUAAUAUAUUGAACCGCAUGGUUCAAUAGUGAAAGACGGUUUUGCUGUCACUUAUAGAUGGAUCCGCGCCGCAUUAGCUAGUUGGUAAGGUAACGGCUUACCAAGGCAACGAUGCGUAGCCGACCUGAGAGGGUGAUCGGCCACACGGGAACGGAGACACGGUCCAGACUCCUACGGGACGCAGCAGUAGGGAAUCUUCCGCAAUGGGCGAAAGCCUGACGGAGCAACGCCGCGUGAGUGAUGAAGGUCUUCGGAUCGUAAAACUCUGUUAUGAGGGAAGAACAAAUGUGUAAGUAACUAUGCACGUCUUGACGGUACCUAAUCAGAAAGCCACGGCUAACUACGUG